rnacentral:rRNA from 1 species
AACGAACGCUGGCGGCGUGCCUAACACAUGCAAGUCGCGCGAGAAAAGGGCUUCGGCCCCUAGUAAAGCGGCGCAUGGGUGCGUAACACGUGGGUAAUCUGCCUUUGGGACCGGAACAACCUUCCGAAAGGAGGGCUAAUGCCGGAUAAGCCCACGGGGUCUUCGGACCCUGGGGGAAAAGAUGGCCUCUGUAUACAAGCUAUCACCUGAAGAUGAGCCCGCGGCCCAUCAGCUAGUUGGCGGGGUAAUGGCCCACCAAGGCAACGACGG